GAUGAAGAACGCAGCGAAAUGCGAUAAGUAAUGUGAAUUGCAGAAUUCAGUGAAUCAUCGAAUCUUUGAACGCACAUUGCGCCCUUUGGUAUUCCGAAGGGCAUGCCUGUUCGAGCGUCAUUAUCAACCAUCAAGCUCUGCUUGGCAUUGGGUGUCGACCUCCCCUAACCGGGGGGUCCCGCCUCAAACUGUUCGGCGGUGGCUCAGGGCCUCAAGCGUUAGUAAUACUUCCCGCUUCAGAGAAACUGAGUCGCCCGCCUCUAGAAACCCACAUCUUAAGGUUGACCUCGGAUCAGGUAGGGAUACCCGCUGAACUUAAGCAUAUCAAUAAGCGGAGGA
rnacentral:misc_RNA from 1 species